rnacentral:tRNA from 1 species
ACCUGGGUGGCUUAGUCGGUUGGGCGUCUGACUUUGGCUCAGGUCAUGAUCUCAUGGUUCGUGGGUUCGAGCCCCACGUCGGGGU